UCUAAGCACAUGCCUUAAUACGGUGAAGCCGCGAAUAGCUCAUUACAACAGCCACCGUCUACUAGAAUAUAGUUAUCCUACUUGGAUAACUGUGGCAAUUCUAGAGCUAAUACAUGCAAAAAAGCUCCGCCCGCAAGGAACGAGCGCAUUUAUUAGAAUAAAAACCAAUCGGGUUUCGGCCCGUAAUUUGGUGAAUCUGAAUAACUUUGCCAAUCGCACAGUCCUAGUACUGGCGAUGUAUCUUUCAAGUGUCUGCCUUAUCAACUUUCGAUGGUAGGUUAUACGCCUACCAUGGUAGUAACGGGUAACGGAGAAUAAGGGUUCGACUCCGGAGAGGGAGCCUGAGAAACGGCUACCACAUCCAAGGAAGGCAGCAGGCGCGCAAAUUACCCACUUCCAGAACGGAGAGGUAGUG
rnacentral:rRNA from 1 species